CCUACGGGUGGCAGCAGUGAGGAAUAUUGGUCAAUGGACGCGAGUCUGAACCAGCCAAGUAGCGUGAAGGAUGACUGCCCUAUGGGUUGUAAACUUCUUUUAUAUAGGAAUAAACUGGUACACGUGUGUUCUUUUGUAUGUACUUUAUGAAUAAGGAUCGGCUAACUCCGUGCCAGCAGCCGCGGUAAUACGGAGGAUCCAAGCGUUAUCCGGAUUUAUUGGGUUUAAAGGGAGCGUAGGUGGAUUGUUAAGUCAGUGGUGAAAGUUUGCGGCUCAACCGGAAAAUUGCAGUUGAUACUGGCAGUCUAGAGUACAGUUGAGGUAGGCGGAAUUCGUGGUGUAGCGGUGAAAUGCUUAGAUAUCACGAAGAACUCCGAUUGCGAAGGCAGCUCACUAAACUGCAACUGACAUUGAGGCUCGAAAGUGUGGGUAUCAAACAGGAUUAGAUACCCGAGUAGUC
rnacentral:rRNA from 1 species